AUACCGAAAAGUAAUAUUAUACAAACCUAAGUAUUUAAAGUUAUGUACUUGAAAUUUGAAGAAUUUGGCGGUGAUUUAGUCUUGUCAGAGGAACCUGUUUUUGAAUCGAUACACCACGAAGAAUCUUACUUAAGCUUGUUGUAGUAUGUAUACCAUCAUUAUUAGGUAAUUUUUAUAGAAUAAAUUACUGUAUAUUUGUUAAUAACGUUAAAUAUAUUAGAUCAAGGUGCAGCUAAUGCUUAAGUUAAAAUGGGUUACAAUAAAAUUUAUUUAAUACGGAAUAUCAAUUUAAACAGUUGAUUAGAAGGAGGAUUUGAUUGUAAAGUAAGUUUAACAAGCUUAGUUAGAUAUAAGCUCUAAAUCAUGUACAUAUCGCCCGUCGCUUUCAUUAUUAAGAUGAGAU
rnacentral:rRNA from 1 species